GGCUGUAGCUCAGUGGCAGAGCGCUUGCCUAGCAUGUGUGAGGCACUGGGUUCCAUCCUCAGUACCA
rnacentral:tRNA from 1 species